UACGAAGGGAGCUAGCGUUGUUCGGAAUCACUGGGCGUAAAGCGCACGUAGGCGGAUGUGUCAGUCAGGGGUGAAAUCCCGGAGCUCAACUUCGGAACUGCCUUUGAUACAGCACGUCUUGAGUCCGAUAGAGGUGGGUGGAAUUCCUAGUGUAGAGGUGAAAUUCGUAGAUAUUCGCAAGAACACCAGUGGCGAAGGCGGCUCACUGGUCCGGUACUGACGCUGAGGUGCGAAAGCGUGGGGAGCAAACAGG
rnacentral:rRNA from 1 species